GACGAACGCUGGCGGCGUGCCUAAUACAUGCCAGUUGAGCGCUGAAGGUUGGUACUUGUACCAACUGGAUGAGCAGCGAACGGGUGAGUAACGCGUGGGGAAUCUGCCUUUGAGCGGGGGACAACAUUUGGAAACGAAUGCUAAUACCGCAUAAAAACUUUAAACACAAGUUUUAAGUUUGAAAGAUGCAAUUGCAUCACUCAAAGAUGAUCCCGCGUUGUAUUAGCUAGUUGGUGAGGUAAAGGCUCACCAAGGCGAUGAUACAUAGCCGACCUGAGAGGGUGAUCGGCCACAUUGGGACUGAGACACGGCCCAAACGCCUACGGGAGGCAGCAGUAGGGAAUCUUCGGCAAUGGACGAAAGUCUGACCGAGCAACGCCGCGUGAGUGAAGAAGGGUUUCGGAUCGUAAAACUCUGUUGGUAGAGAAGAACGUUGGCGAGAGUGGAAAGCUCAUCAAGUGACGGUAACUACCCAGAAAGGGACGGCUAACUACGUG
rnacentral:rRNA from 1 species